rnacentral:rRNA from 1 species
AUUGAACGCUGGCGGCAGGCUUAACACAUGCAAGUCGAGCGAGCGGCGGACGGGUGAGUAAUGUCUGGGAAACUGCCUGAUAGCGGGGGAUAACUACUGUAAACGGUAGCUAAUACCGCAUACCAUACGAAUUGCCCAGAUGGGAUUAGCUAGUAGUGUGGGUAAUGGCUCACCUAGGCGACGCUCCCUAGCUGGUCUGAGAGGAUGACCUGCCACACGGGAACUGGGACACGGUCCAGACUCCUACGGGAGGCAGCAGUGGGGAAUAUUGCACAAUGGGCGCAAGCCUGAUGCAGCCAUGCCGCGUGUGUGAAGAAGGCCUUCGGGUUGUAAAGCACUUUCAGCGAGGAGGCGUUACUCGCAGAAGAAGCACCGGCUAACUCCGUGCCAGCAGCCGCGGUAAUUC